rnacentral:rRNA from 1 species
GAUGAACGCUAGCUACAGGCUUAACACAUGCAAGUCGAGGGGAAACGACAUCGAAAGCUUGCUUUUGAUGGGCGUCGACCGGCGCACGGGUGAGUAACGCGUAUCCAACCUGCCCACCACUUGGGGAUAACCUUGCGAAAGUAAGACUAAUACCCAAUGAUAUCUCUAGAAGACAUCUGAAAGGGAUUAAAGAUUUAUCGGUGAUGGAUGGGGAUGCGUCUGAUUAGCUUGUUGGCGGGGUAACGGCCCACCAAGGCGACGAUCAGUAGGGGUUCUGAGAGGAAGGUCCCCCACAUUGGAACUGAGACACGGUCCAAACUCCUACGGGAGGCAGCAGUGAGGAAUAUUGGUCAAUGGGCGAGAGCCUGAACCAGCCAAGUAGCGUGCAGGACGACGGCCCCUAUGGGUUGUAAACUGCUUUUAUAAGGGAAUAAAGUGAGUCUCGUGAGACUUUUUGCAUGUACCUUAUGAAUAAGGACCGGCUAAUUCCGUG